AUUGAACGCUGGCGGCAGGCCUAACACAUGCAAGUCGAACGAGUGGCGGACGGGUGAGUAAUGUCUGGGAAACUGCCUGAUGGAGGGGGAUAACUACUGGAAACGGUAGAUAAUACCGCAUACCAUCGGAUGAGCCCAGAUGGGAUUAGCUCGUAGGUAGGGUAACGGCUCACCUAGGCGACGAUCCCUAGCUGGUCUGAGAGGAUGACCAGCCACACUGGAACUUAGACACGGUCCAGACUCCUACGGGAGGCAGCAGUGGGGAAUAUUGCACAAUGGGCGCAAGCCUGAUACAGCCAUGCCGCGUGUAUGAAGAAGGCCUUCGGGUUGUAAAGUACUUUCAGCGGGGAGGCGUUACCCGCAGAAGAAGCACCGGCUAACUCCGUGCCAGCCGCCGCGGUAAUUC
rnacentral:rRNA from 1 species